rnacentral:rRNA from 1 species
GACGAACGCUGGCGGCGUGCUUAACACAUGCAAGUCGAGCGGAGCGGCGAACGGGUGAGUAACGCGUGAGUAACUGCCCACCUCCCUGGGAUCACAGAUGGAAACGGCUGCGAAUACCGGAUAGUGGGGGAUGUAUCGCGCCCAAUCAGCUUGUUGGUGGGGUAGUGUCCGACCAAGACGACGACGGGUAGCCGGCCUGAGAGGGCGACCGGCCACAUUGGGCUGAGGUACGGCCCAAACUGCUACGGGAGGCAGCAGUGGGGAAUAUUGCACAAUGGGGGAAACCCUGAUGCAGCAACGCGCGUGCGGGAUGACGGCCUUCGGGUUGUAAACCGCUUUCAGCCAUGACGCGGUAGUGGCAGAAGAAGCACCGGCUAACUACGUGCCAGCAGCCGCGGUAAUUC